rnacentral:misc_RNA from 1 species
GAAAUGCGAUAAGUAGUGUGAAUUGCAGAAUUCAGUGAAUCAUCGAAUCUUUGAACGCACAUUGCGCCCCUCGGUAUUCCGUGGGGCAUGCCUGUUCGAGCGUCAUCUACACCCUCAAGCUCUGCUUGGUGUUGGGCGUCUGUCCCGCCUCCUUCGCGCGCGGACUCGCCCCAAAUCCAUUGGCGGCGGCCCUUGCCUCCCUCUCGCGCAGCACAUUGCGCUUCUCGAGGCGCGGCGGACCGCGUCCAGCAAACAACCGUCACACCGUCUUUGACCUCGGAUCAGGUAGGGAUACCCGCUGAACUUAAGC